rnacentral:rRNA from 1 species
UACAGAGGUCUCAAGCGUUGUUCGGAUUCAUUGGGCGUAAAGGGUGCGUAGGUGGCGCUGUAAGUCGGGUGUGAAAUUUCGGAGCUUAACUCUGAAACUGCAUUCGAUACUGCGGUGCUUGAGGACUGGAGAGGAGACUGGAAUUCAUGGUGUAGCAGUGAAAUGCGUAGAGAUCAUGAGGAAGACCAGUGGCGAAGGCGGGUCUCUGGACAGUUCCUGACACUGAGGCACGAAGGCCAGGGGAGCAAACGGG